AGAGUUUGAUCCUGGCUCAGGAUGAACGCUAGCGACAGGCUUAACACAUGCAAGUCGAGGGGCAGCGGGAGGAAAGCUUGCUUUUCUUGCCGGCGACCGGCGCACGGGUGAGUAACACGUAUGCAACCUGCCCAUCCCAGGGGGACAACCUUCCGAAAGGGAGGCUAAUCCCGCGUAUAUCCUCCGGAGGCAUCUCCGGAGGAGGAAAGAUUCAUCGGGGAAGGAUGGGCAUGCGGCGCAUUAGCUUGACGGCGGGGUAACGGCCCACCGUGGCGACGAUGCGUAGGGGUUCUGAGAGGAAGGUCCCCCACACUGGUACUGAGACACGGACCAGACUCCUACGGGAGGCAGCAGUGAGGAAUAUUGGUCAAUGGAAGAGAUUCUGAACCAGCCAAGCCGCGUGAGGGAAGACGGCCCUACGGGUUGUAAACCUCUUUUGUCGGGGAACAAAGAGCGGGACGUGUCCCGCGUUGAGUGUACCCGAAGAAAAAGCAUCGGCUAACUCCGUGCCAGCAGCCGCGGUAAUACGGAGGAUGCGAGCGUUAUCCGGAUUUAUUGGGUUUAAAGGGUGCGCAGGCGGCGGAUCAAGUCAGCGGUCAAAUUGCGGGGCUCAACCCCGUACUGCCGUUGAAACUGGUCUGCUUGAGUUGGAGAGAAGUAGGCGGAAUGCGCGGUGUAGCGGUGAAAUGCAUAGAUAUCGCGCAGAACUCCGAUUGCGAAGGCAGCCUACCGGCUCCAUACUGACGCUGAGGCACGAAAGCGUGGGGAUCGAACAGGAUUAGAUACCCUGGUAGUCCACGCAGUAAACGAUGAAUGCUGGUUGUCCGGACCGAUUGGGGUCUGGGCGGCGAAGCGAAAGCGAUAAGCAUUCCACCUGGGGAGUACGCCGGCAACGGUGAAAUUCAAAGGAAUUGACGGGGGCCCGCACAAGCGGAGGAACAUGUGGUUUAAUUCGAUGAUACGCGAGGAACCUUACCCGGGCUCAAACGGGAGCGGAAUGUCGCAGAGACGCGACAGUCUACGGACCGCUUCCGAGGUGCUGCAUGGUUGUCGUCAGCUCGUGCCGUGAGGUGUCGGCUUAAGUGCCAUAACGAGCGCAACCCCCGCCGACAGUUGCUAACUGGUCAAGCAGAGGACUCUGUCGGGACUGCCGGCGCAAGCCGCGAGGAAGGCGGGGAUGACGUCAAAUCAGCACGGCCCUUACGUCCGGGGCGACACACGUGUUACAAUGGUCGGUACAGCGGGAAGCCAGGCGGCGACGCCGAGCGGAACCCGAAAGCCGGUCUCAGUUCGGAUCGGAGUCUGCAACCCGACUCCGUGAAGCUGGAUUCGCUAGUAAUCGCGCAUCAGCCAUGGCGCGGUGAAUACGUUCCCGGGCCUUGUACUCACCGCCCGUCA
rnacentral:rRNA from 1 species